rnacentral:ncRNA from 1 species
ACGGUGACGUUAUGAGUGAAAGAAGUGGCUAGCAAGCUUUCUGAGAUUAUGAACAGAAACUUGAUAUAAGGCUCUGCGGUGGAUAAGGCUGCAAAACAAGUCAAAGUCCAAAGGGUAAACGUAUAACCAAAAGAGUAAAUCAAGAGUCUAUGGAAAG